AGUGGUUCCUAUUCCUCCACAUUUCAUUGGCCAGGACUCCGCCACGUGACCCACCCUACGCCAGAAGAGGGCGGGGCCAUGUAGAGCUUCCUGCAAGCGCCGGCGCGAGAGAGCGCGAUCGCUCCGCUGGACGGUGGGUGCGGCUGAGGAGACCGUUAUUCCUCCUGACGAGACUGUUGGUUCUGGAAAGUCCCGGCCACGAAGGGGAAGAAGUUUGUCGCGGACUUACUGCUAUUGAGGGCAAGGACCAUAGCUGAUUACCUCCGAAUCCCUGUGCCUGGCGCAUGAGGCAUAAGAAGACGUGAUGCCUUGAGCUGUUGCAGUCAUCUUGCAGCCAUGAGGGGAUAAACCAACUGUGAAUACCAGACGGUACAGGGGAGAGCUUCAUUCCUUGAGGGAGUGCUGCUGAGUGAACCAGCCCUGGAAAUGCCUGCCUCAGGACUUCUGGAGAGCUGAUAGUGGCUGCUGUAAACUUGGGCAAUUACCCAUCAAGAUCACAGCAUUGUGACCUCGUGUUGACUUCCCAGUUGAGUGUACAGCCAUCAAGCUGUGUGACCUCUGUACUUCUUAACCAUAGCACUUCAACGGAAAAUCAAUGUAGCAUGUGGGUAAGCCUUAGGCCCUGGAAUCAAACAAAGUGAUCUAGAUUUAAAUUAGAUUGUCUUACCUCUGAGCCUCCCUUUCUUAAAUGUGGAUUAUCUUACCUCUGAGCCUCCAUUUGUUCAUCUGUAAAAUGGGGAUAAUCAUUGUGCCCACCUUUAAAGGUUACUGUGAUAAAGUGAUAAUACAGUAUCUGUUACAGAAUACAUACUCUAUAAAUGUUGGCUGUUAUCACUGUUGUUAUUUUGCAUAAUUAUCUUGUCUUCUGCACCUUAGAGUUUUACUCCUUAAAUAAAAUA